rnacentral:tRNA from 1 species
GGGAAGGUGGCUCAGUGGUAGAGCGCUUGUCUUGCAUGCAUGAGGCCCUGGGUUC